rnacentral:rRNA from 1 species
UGGACGAAAGUCUGACGGAGCAACGCCGCGUGAGUGAAGAAGGUUUUCGGAUCGUAAAACUCUGUUUUCAGGGACGAAUGUGCAAUAUGUGAAUAAUGUGUUGUAAUGACGGUACCUGACAAGAAAGCCACGGCUAACUACGUGCCAGCAGCCGCGGUAAUACGUAGGUGGCAAGCGUUGUCCGGAAUUAUUGGGCGUAAAGCGCGCGCAGGUGGGAUAAUAAGUCUGAUGUUAAAGUUCGGGGCUCAACCCCGUGAAGCAUUGGAAACUAUUAUUCUUGAGUGCAGGAGAGGAAAGUGGAAUUCCUAGUGUAGCGGUGAAAUGCGUAGAUAUUAGGAGGAACACCAGUGGCGAAGGCGACUUUCUGGACUGUGUCUGACACUGAGGCGCGAAAGCCAGGGUAGUGAACGGGAUUAGAUACCCCGGUAAUCCUGGCCGUAAACGAUGGGUACUAGGUGUUGGGGGUAUCGACCCCUCCAGUGCCGGAGUUAACGCAAUAAGUACCCCGCCUGGGGAGUA